rnacentral:sRNA from 1 species
AGAUAACUCUACCCAGGCUGAGUUGUGGCUGGUAUUGGCGAUAUAAGCUUGUUAGCUGUUUUCUCUUGUGUCUUUGGUCUUCAUCUUUGAUUACGCGUCAUUGAAAAGACUGUACAUGAGAAAACUCUUUUGUUGAAACAUUUCUCUUGUAAUAUGAAUGUAUUGAGUUUGUGACUAUCCUUCUCCUGUGCUAGAAUCAUAUAUUUC